rnacentral:tRNA from 4 species
GCUCCGUUCGUCUAACGGUUAGGACAUGGCCCUCUCAAGGCUAAAAUAAGGGUUCGAUUCCCUUACGGAGCGCCA